UGGGGAAUAUUGCACAAUGGGCGCAAGCCUGAUGCAGCCAUGCCGCGUGUAUGAAGAAGGCCUUCGGGUUGUAAAGUACUUUCAGCGGGGAGGAAGGCGAUAAGGUUAAUAACCUUGUCGAUUGACGUUACCCGCAGAAGAAGCACCGGCUAACUCCGUGCCAGCAGCCGCGGUAAUACGGAGGGUGCAAGCGUUAAUCGGAAUUACUGGGCGUAAAGCGCACGCAGGCGGUAUGUCAAGUCGGAUGUGAAAUCCCCGGGCUCAACCUGGGAACUGCAUUCGAAACUGGCAGGCUAGAGUCUGGUAGAGGGGGGUAGAAUUCCAGGUGUAGCGGUGAAAUGCGUAGAGAUCUGGAGGAAUACCGGUGGCGAAGGCGGCCCCCUGGACAAAGACUGACGCUCAGGUGCGAAAGCGUGGGGAGCAAACA
rnacentral:rRNA from 1 species